AACAAGUUUCAAUAUCAAAUUAUUUUCAAAGCAAAUUAGUGCCAAUAAUAAAUCUCUUUUUAAAAUCAAACCAGCUCAAAUACUAAAUCAUUUAUAAAGUCAGACUAACUCAAAAUUAAACCAUUUCCAAAAUUAAUUCAGUUUCAUAUUCCAAAUCAUUUCCAAAGCCGAUUCGUUUACAUUAUCAAAAAUAGCUUCAAAACCAAGAAAGUCAUUUUUCAUAAUAAUCAACUAAAUAACCUUUCAAAUUAAUUUCUUUUCAGCAAUCACAAACUACUCAAGCAAUCAAGCAAUCAGUCAUUCAGUCCAGCAAACAACCACAUUUAUAAGACAAUCAUAAUCACAGGCAUAUGUUUCUCACAUUAAUAUCUAUUUAUAACAACUCUAUAAUGUAAAAUAGAUUUUAAGAAAAACUCCUACCUCGAUGUCUCAAUCGCAGAAUUUAACUCAAUAAUCCCCUUUAUCCCAAAUUCAUGGCAGUAGCAGCGAUCUUAGCAGCUCCAUUAUCAAUUAUGACUUUGCAAUAGAUAAAUCGACAGUGGCUAAAAUGGAAACAUAUUUCUGUAAUUGGAGUAAGGGUGGCACAAGAAAACCAAAUAGCAGUAGGAUAAAGGCAGAAACAUUAUAAAUUUCAGAAUUAAAGGAGUUGAAAUCAAAAUAGGAAGAAUAGUGCUACCGGAGACAACAACAUUCAGUAGUUCCAAACAAGGGCGGCAGCGCCGAAUGAAAAGUAGUGGCUACAAUGUCUCUCACUACAAUCAAUCAGCAGCAAGGACACAACCGGGUUCAUCACCCAAAAACGGCAAUAACUGCAAGCUCCGGAACACCGAUAGUAACAGCAACAGCAGCGGA